rnacentral:snRNA from 1 species
CUUUGUCAGCACAUGAAACCAUCCAGAGAAGAUUAGAAUGGUCCCUGCACAAGGAUUGAAACACAAAUUCAUGAAGUAAGGGCUGGAAUG